AAAACAUGAAUGGUGUGUUGGUAGAGAAAGAAAAACGAGAAUAGAGAUAGGAAGGAGGAGAAAAGGUGCAUUAAAGUUUUUACCCGAUUUGGACCAACACAAAAGAUGCUUGUUUUGACUCAAGGAAGGUUUCCUUUUUGGUCUUUCCUUUAGCUUGCAAAUCUGCCGAGAGUAGCACAAGAGAAUGGAUGUUUUGUGUUUU
rnacentral:lncRNA from 1 species